UUGUUUUACAAACAAAUAUUAAAAAAAAGUUGUUUAUUAUUUUUUUUAAUAAAUUUUUUUUUACGUAUUUUUUUUAAUAAAUUUUUUUACGUAUUUUUUUUAUCUAAUGGAAAAAAUGGAAUUAAGAUAUAAUUUAGAACUAAAAGAUUUUUCUACUUUAAAACAGGUUGUGAGUAAUUAUGAGAAGAAUAAUCAUCAGCUCAUUAUUCUUCUCAAAAAGUAUUAAUUUCAGAUAAAAAUUCAUUAAUUUUACAAGAAUGGGAUAAGAAUAUAAUGAAAAAUAUUAAAAUGCCCAUAAAAUACAAACGAGGAUCAAUACACAAAAGGCCUAAAAAAAUGCAAAAAAAGAGUAUUAUUUAAAAAUUAUAAAAUAUUUCACAGUUAGCAAUUUUUGAAAAUGAUAUUAUAAUAUACAUGUAUUUUAAAAAAAGAUUUUUCCCAAGCUAAUCAAAAUAUGACUGAAACGAUUAACCUACCACAUUCCAAUACAGAAAACACUCAACUAUAUGUCAAAUUAUCUUCAUCUCAAAUUAUUUCAAAAAAUAUGUUAGGCACUCAAGUUAAGAUACCAGAGAGCCCUCAGUCAAAAACUAUUCCAGCUACAUUCGAAUUCUCUUCAUCUCAAAAUAUUUCAAAAAAUAUAUUAGGCACUCAAAUUAAGCUACCAAAUACAACCAAAACUUUAGACUACACUGGAUAUUCUCUUCAAAAUCUUUCAAAAUUAUUUUAGGAAACCAUAAAUAAAACAAAUAAUUAUAUAUUUAGAAUGUUUAUAUUAAAUUUAAAAAUAUAUAGGAACCAAAUACAAUCUAA